CCAAAGCACAAUAAGGCCACAUGCGAGUGGGGAUCACAAAAAAACACGUGCCGAAAAUCAAAUUCAAAAGCCAAAAGUGGGGAGCACGGAACUCUGGCUUCCUCCGCUGUGUCGGAGAUCACCUUCGGCGAAGAUGGAGCUCUAAUGCCUAAAACAAACACAUCAUCUCCUUUACCUCCUCAGCCUGGUUUCGAAAAUCUCAACGAAAUGGUCUAAUUCUUCCUUAGCAUCCUGAAUCGAAGAAGAGAAGCCAAAAGCCCUCAAUCUGAGAAACAAAAUUAAAUCACGCUCCUUCAGAGUCAAAGCCCUAGGGGUUAGGGAUUUGAAUCCCCUACUCCUACUCUAUAUCCAGGUAACCAGUAUGAGGCAAAAUGAUGAAGUCAAUGGAACUUACCGAUGCGGAGGUCGCCGGAAUUCCAGGUUAAUCAUUUGUUGAAAGUUACUUUGGAUUGGCUGCUAUGUUUUUGGAUGUUAUACAUGUUGUGGUCAGGCACUGCUCCAUGUACUCUGGUUCGGGUUUGAGUUUGUCACUGUGUUUGGCCUUUGGUUCACAGGCCACUGAUGUUGUGGGAGCCCUGUCGAUCUGCAGUAUAAUAGAAUCACUCUUAAAAUGUGACCAUGUGUACCGAACUUUCCAGCUUCAUGAGAGGAAAGUUAGAACAAAGUAGUAAGGUCCGGUUGACUGCUGGAUGUAGUAACGGAAAGCUCUCGCAUUGCUGCAAUUGUUGACUCCAAUUUGCUACUAGAUUCUUUUCCUCAGCCAUGGAGCGGAAUUGGAGGGAGUAGCGAAAGAAAAGCGGUGUUGAGGAUUAAUGGUGGUGUUCGCUACAAAUUGGUCAUUUUUGCAGCAUGUCAACUCAAUGUUCAUUUUAAAUGUAUUACGUAUGGAAACUUUUGCGGCAAUUGCAUUGUCGUAUUUCCUGCAUUAUGAUCGAAAUGGUUUGUUGGCUA